AUACGGAGGGUGCAAGCGUUGCCCGGAUUUAUAGGGUUUAAAGGGUGUGUAGGCGGUGUAUUAAGUCAGUGGUGAAAGCCUGCGGCUCAACCGUAGAACUGCCAUUGAUACUGACACACUUGAGUAUGGACGAGGUAGGCGGAAUUUAUGGUGUAGCGGUGAAAUGCAUAGAUACCAUAAAGAACACCGAUAGCGAAGGCAGCUUACUAGGCCAUAACUGACGCUGAGGCACGAAAGCGUGGGGAGCGAACAGGAUUAGAUACCCUAGUAGUCC
rnacentral:rRNA from 1 species